UCUCCAGCUGGCAUGUCUAAGCAGCUUUUCUCCCUCAGUUUCUAUCAGUUAGCAGAGUGUUGCCCUGUGGACAACUCUGUGGAAGAUUCCUGCGUACUGCGUGGGAGAUGGAGGCCUCAGAGCCCCAGAUGCUGCACGAGGUCGGACUGGGCUCGCGCCUGUCGCUACAAAGGGACCGCUGCACAUGGCAGGCCAGCAGAUGCCAACAGACAGCUUUUACAUUGUGUUAGACAGAACACCAUUUUCUGGUUACAAACGGCCAUCGGUACAUUACUUCCCCCCUUGGAACCUCAUGAAUGCAGUGAAAUUAACCAAACAUGAGAAGGAAGAGGUGACUGGAGAGAGAGCAAGAACGACAGAGAACCGACUUUCCAAACUAGAUACUCAGCCAGCGGGGAUUGGCUUUGCCUUAGCCAAUCAGAGAGGCAAAGAUCAGGAAGACCCAGAUGCACACCAGAAAAGCCUGCAUUGGCUCAGAAAUUCAAAAGAUCGGCUGCAGAGUCACUGGGGAAGAGCGGAUGCUGCAAAAAGGACGCCCCACCCCCACCCCACCCCACCCCACUGUAUUUCUCCACUUGUCUCCGAUCAGAGAAACAAAUCCACGCCUCUCCAAGCAGAAAGGGUGAACCAUAUAGACCCUGAUUGGGGGAAUACGUGUUCCCUUUCAGUAAGAUCUGAACUGGAAACUUAAAUGAAAAGUUGACACGGUGGCUCUUUCCGCCAUCUUGGCGCCUGUGGAGGCCUGCUGGGAACAGGACUAAUUGAACAAAAGCAGGUAUGGAAGGCUGUGGUGCAAGGCCAUUUUUGCUGGCUAGAAGCGAAGUCUCCGGAACCAAAGAGAGCACACGGCUCUUAAAACUGAAGGCGUCUAUGCCCGAAAUGAAACUGAGUUCAACUUAGGCAAGUGCUUCUGUACAUGCAGCAAAACAAACAAACAAAACAAAAAACCCAGAAAAACAAACAACAACAACAACAACAACAACAACAACAAGAACAAGAACAACAACAACAACACAGUGACUCCUGGAGGCAAAUCAAAUGAAACCAGAGUGAUCUGGGGGAAAGUAACUCGGGCCCACGGAAACAGUGGCAUGGUUCGUGCUAAAUUCUGAAGCAACCUUCCUGUAAAGGCAUUUGGACACAGACAGAAUCUGUGUGAUGCUGUUCCCAUCCCCGAUUCAAACUAAUGGAGAGUAAAUAAAUAAAAGUCGACUUGUACUCUUGUUUAAAAAAAGAAAAGGAAGAAAGGAAGGGAGGGAGGGAGGAAGAAAGAAAGACAGACAGACAGACAGACAGACAGACAGACAUUGACACAGUGAAGUAGACCUCAGCAGCAGCUGCCCAGUGAACCCACUCCAAGCUUCCAUCAGUCUUCUCAGGUCCAUCCCAUCCCAACACCACCCUAUUCCACCACCACCCCAGCUUUUAUGUUCCUCGUGGCUGCAGAAGGUCCAUUCACAUUUCCCUGGUUCUAAAACUAUCAUUCCUGAGAGUCACUGCUAAAAUGUCAUGGGCACAGGGAGGCCCACUCACUGACAGAUUCACUCAGGCAUACAGAAUGUCCAAGGAGCCUCUUGCACCACCGUCUUACCUAUGAAAAGACAGGGCCAUCAGUAAUUGGAAGCAGAUUUUUAUUAUGAAGAACAAAAUUGAAAACCGCAAAAGGAAGUCGGGGAAGACGGGGGCAACUCAAGGAAGAGGAAAACUGUAAAAACAAGAGAAGACAGCAUACUCACAAUAAAUAAAAAGCAUGGACAGCAAUGAAAAGGAGCUUGAGGGCCUAUAGUGUGAGAGCAGAACAGAGGGCUUAGAAAAACAGCUGAAGAGAUUUUGAAAUAAUGGUAAGGAUAAAGUCAACGAGACAGAAAGUCAAGAGAAAAAUAGUUUUGUUCAUCUGUUCGCUCAUUUGGUGCCUACACUACCACGGGUAUUUAGGGGGCAUUGGUAAGCCAGCCAAAGAUGUAAGGAAUGGAGGCGAAUCAAUGCUUUGUUCAGAAGAAAUAGAUGCAGAGCAGAGGAGAGGCACUCGGAGUGAGGAUAGGGAGGGCUUAGGGAUCCUUCCCACCCCCAUUUUCAAUAGUGAUCAAGUGUACUCUGUUUAACACCACUUAAGUAAAAAGUAAAAAAAAAAAAAAGAAGAAAAAGAAUAUUAAGUACUGAUGUGUUUAUAAAAAGAUAAAGAGAGGAUAUGUCCUGGGUUUCGAUACUAAGGUUGUGUUUAUGAAAGGAUAAAGAGGAGAUGUGUUCUAUGGAGGUCUGAGGAAAAGGGGUGCCACACUGAGACAUCCCUUCCCCUUGAGGGACCAUCGAGGGGAAUUGAGAGGGUAGAAGGGGGGAGAGAGAGGGAGAGAGAAAGGGAGAGAGAGAGAGAAAGAGAGAGAGAGAGAAGAUAGAUGCUGGCCAUGAGCUCACAGAGAGAAGGGGAGAGAAGAAUGGGACAAAGGGAAGAGUAAGAGAGAGCAAGAGGGAUCAAGAGAGUGAGGAGGGGGGCAAGCAGCCCCUUUUAUAGUGAGUCAGGCAUACCUGGCUGUUGCCAGGUAACUGUGGGAGUGGAGCUUAGAAUGCUAACAAGUACCCCAGAGUUUAUACACUAAAACUCUCAUCCUCUAGAAGGUAGAGGCUCCUGGUAUUAAUCAGAUCGUAGGAGCAGAGGCCUGUUGGACAGCGUCGGUGCCCUGAUGGAAGAAGCCUGGAGGCCACAACGAUGUAUACAGCUGUCUGUUAAAAAAGCAGAUAGGACUUCCUGACCCACAGACUAUGACAAAUACAUUUCUGUUGUUUGCAAGUGAACAAAAAAGGUUUGGAAAGCCACAAGAGACAGGCAUGUUACUAAUUUCCAUGGCGCUAAACGAGCAACGUCAGACUGGUCUGAGGUGUGUGGGGCAAGAUCAGCUGUUCUUCAUCCUGGGCUAUCAUUGUCAGAUUUUAAUGUAUGCACGAACCACUUGGGCGUUGUUAAGAGGAAAAUCCUGGCUAAGCACACACUGUUAAUUACCUCAGUUGACACGAUGCUGCCGGUCCAUGGGUUAGGCUUUGGUUACCAAGGUUUCUAGAGAAUGACAGCAUAUCAGAAACCUUGUGUGAAGAUGCCCUCUAACAGUUUCUGGGCCAGAUUUAGGCUUAGCAAGCAAUUUCCACACAUGGAAACAAAAAUGGGUAAUGUUGCAACAGCGCUGAGGGUUUUACAUUUUAUUUUAAUGUGUGGUGUCUGUGCUCAUGAGUUCGAGGGUGUGUGCACAUGAAAACCUGAGAUCCUUAUCAGGUUUCUUCCUCAGUCGAUCUCUGCUCUCUCUCCCUGACCCCCCACCUCCACCUCCCAUUUGAGUCAGGGUCUGUCAUUGAACCUGGAGGUCAGUGAGUUCAGUUAGAUUGGCCGGCCACCAAGCCUGUAGGAUCUCCCUGUCUUCACCUCCCUAGUGCCUGGCUUUUUAUGUGUUUGCUCGGAUGUGGACUUGGUCUUCAGGUUUGCACAGCAAGCCCUUUACCUACUGAGUCAUUUUCCUAGCCCCAGUCCUAAAGGUUUAGCACAGGAACCUGACCGUCUCUUAGAGGCCAGUAUGAGCUGACUAGAGACCACCAAGUUAGAGACCCUGUCUGCCUGAGACAGGCACUUGUACUCACCUCUGGUUUAUGUUAGGCAGAAAUGGUGGCACUGGGUUGCCAAACUGUCCAAUUUAUGAGGCAAUGCAAAAUUAGGGUUCUAUGUGAAAUUCUCUGAUUUCUUUGUUUUCAAUUAAAAUUUUUCCUCAAGUGGUUUUCAAGCUAAACAAAACAAACCUGCAGGCCAGAUGUAAACUUUGGGGGUAUUUUUUCUCUUUCCCUGGUCCAAUAUUGUGCCAGAGCCUGAGAGAAACUAAGACCUAAGUCUUGCUGUUAGGAUGGGUUGGUUGGCUGGGUGUGGUGGAGCACACCCUUUGUCCUAGCUCUUGGGAGGCAGAGGCAGAAAGGUCUCUGUGAAUUCAAGGCCAUUCUACUGUACAUAGUAAUCUCCAGGAAGACCAGAACUCUAUUGUGAGACCCUAUCUCCACAGGGAGAGGAAAAAAAGAGAGAACCAGGUGGCUUUGCUGAGAACAGAAGAUAUUUGCACAUGUUUUUGUGUGAGAUUACAAGUAGAAAUGCAAACCCAAUGAGGAAAAAAGAAAUGAAAGCCAUUUAUGGGGGCUGUGAAAUCAAACCCCAAUACGACUUCUGAUAUUAGCUGUCUCAGUUAGGGUUUUACUGCUAUGAACAGACACCACGACCAAUGCAAGUCUUAUAAAGGACAAUGUUUAAUUCAGACUGGCCUACAGGUUCAGAGGCUCAGUCCAUUAGCAUCAAGGUGAGAGCAUGGCAACGCCCAGGCAGGCAUGGUGCAGGAGGAGCUGAGAAUUCUAUAUCUUCAUCCGAAGGCUACUAGCUGAAUACUGGCUUCCAGGAAGCUAGGAUGAGGGUCUUAAAGCCCACACCCACAGUGACACACCUACUCCAACAAGGCCACACCACCCAAUGGUGCCACUCCCAGGGCCAAGCAUAUACAAACCAUCAAUGGAAUGGCCCACAAUGGAAUUUUCUGAUUUGUUGAAAUUGAGCCUACUUAUUUUGUCUUCUUGGGAUGGCAAGCACCAGGCACAAACAGUACUAUCAUUCGUGUGAAGUACUAACUUUGAUAUUGAAGCCAGUGGGAGUGGCCAGAAGUAAAUCAAUGAUUAAAAUACUAAUGGCAUCUGUCAUUAUACACUACAGGAAACAUAGCUGUUGCACAAAGAAAAAGAUUUUCUGAGGGUUUCACAAGUUGAAAUCGUUUCAGCACUUUGGAGAUGGAGUUGUGGAAGUGCAUCUGGUUAGUGAGUGGGAUGAGGUCUACUGAACAAUAGUGCUCUGUCACUUGUGAAUAUAUUGCCUUCUGAGCAAGCUCUCUGGUCACCCUGAAUAAGCCAGUCAUUUUCAGAUGGGGAGGUUGUCCUGGAUUACUGCAGUGGGCAGAAGCAAUCACAAGGGACCUCAGAAGUGAGAAGUAAGGUCAGAAUCCAAGGAAAGCAUGCAGCCUUCAGAAGCAAGGAAACAGUCUGAGUUUUGACUCUCCAAAGGAGAAAAGCCCACUGACAUCUAAUUUUAGAUCGCUGGGUUUGACAUGGACUCCCUGGUUUACAGAAAAAUAGAACAAUACAUUUGUUUUCAAUCAUUCAGUGUGGUCAUUUGUUACAGCAGCAAUAGGAAAGUGGUACAGUAGGUAGAGCUCAUGAAAAAGCCUGAAGGCAGGCAGCAUCAAAACAUGGUGUCUUCAGAAUCCCAAACCAUCCAGAGAAACGAUUUUCUAUGGACAACACCACGCCACUUUCUGUUGUUUUUUCACAUCUAAAAUUAAUUGUUUUGGAGCUGGGGGUGUAGUUUAGUGGUAUGACACUUGUCUAGUAUGAGUGAAGGCUUGGAUUAAUCACCAGCACCAUGGAAGAUUUAUUCUGAUGCAUUCUUUAUUGCCUAGUGUACAAACUGGGAGUGAACUUUACUUACAUGUACUGGAAUUAUGGAUCAAGUGAGAAUAGUGAACACAGACUGCCUGGGAAAGGUCCCCAGAGAUGCUCACUAAGUGGUGCAAAACAGAGAUGCUCACUAAAUGCUGAUGUUUUGAGAUGGGGCCUUAGUAUAUCGCAGGCAACCUUUAUGCUUCAGUAGCGGGAUCGUAGCCACCAUGACGGAUUUACAUGUUGGUUUCUCAUGCUUGUGUGUUAUGGCUUGACUGUGAAAUAUCUCUCACAGAGGCUUAAGUGCUGAAUGUUUGGUUCACAGCUGGCAGAUCUACUUUGAAAGGUAGUAAAAACUUUGAGGGAGGUGAGGCCUUGCUGGAAGCAGGUGUGUAGGAGGUGUUUUUGACAGUUGUGCCUGGUCAGGGUCCCCUUUUCCCUCUCUGCUUCCUGUGUUCCAUGGGUGAGCAGCCAAGGAGUCUGUGGGUGGUGACACACCUUCCAUUCCCUUAAGCAGUCAAGUUGGGCAUUUUAUCACUGAGUCUCAAAAUGUACAAACAUGUUUUGUUCCUAUGGAUCUUAAAGUACUGUUUAACACACACACACACACACACACACACUCACACACAAAUUGAAAAGACUAGAACCUUCAUUUAACAUAGAAAUAGACAAGGUGCAGUUAAUUUCAUUAUUGGAAAACAUUCAGCGAUUUAAGGGUCAAUCUAAGACUGACACAGGAAUAGGAUGGAAUUCACUUUUUUUUUUUUUCUGACUUAAUGGUUGCCAGGAUUAAUCAAGUCACAAAUGUGAAUAAUUUCUUCCUUUUUUCAACUGGAAUUUUUAAGUGCUUAUUCUUAGAAAUUCUUUAAUAUUAAUUUCAUGCUAAGUGAAUCAUUAUUAAAUACUUAUGAGGAGAACUAUUUUUAAGCCAUGUGCUCAUUUGAAACUGUAACGUAUUACUUUCUGCAGGCAAUAAAAAACGUGCUAAAUUAGUUACAACACCCCAGGAAUGGGAUGUGUGCUCUAAAUAAGAAUGCAUGCGUUUACUGACCUAAAUAAAACGGGGCUAAAAUUGGUUGCACGUUCUCCUAAAAGAGUAUACAUGUCAUUCAUUGCUCAAUGGGGAAAAACACAGAUUUUUGUUCCGGAAUCGUGGUAGAAAUUCCACAAGGCUAGGGUUGUUCCUCUGAUCUUCAGCCUUCACAUGUUUUUAGUAAGUAGACAGGUUACCUGUCUUUGCAGUUCAGGCCCCAAUAUCCCCACCAAUUUUAAAAUGCCGUUUGCUACUCUUGGCUGUUCUUGUGUAACAACCAUGUACCCACUGACGGGCUCUGCAGGGAAAGCAGCUAUUCAUUGGCAUGAGGAGGCUUUCUUUCUCUAGACCAAGCUUAAGGCAGAGGACAAGACUUUUCUUUAACCACAGAAAUCUGACUUUAUUAUAGUGCUUCAUCUUAGUCCUGUGGCAGGCCGCAGGGACUCAAAAUAACGUUCAUUUUGACAAAACAGAAACGCAUUUUUCUUUAUUGUUUAGCCAAAGCAGGUAGCUUCUGUGAUGACUGGCAUCUAGGUAGCGAAGAAAGCUAGAAGGUUGAGCUUUCCUUCCUACAACGUAGGAAGGGUUUUCUAAACUUCUCCUGAAACAGGUUCAGUGACCCUCUUGUGAGAAGAGGCUGACCAUGACAGGGACAAAAGAGCACCAUUCUCUCUGAAGACUCGGAGAGAAGGCACUGAACAAACAGGCCUUGUUAAUGCCCCCACAUUCAUAACUGGAAGAUUAUAUUCUCUGUCCAAUUCUCUCUCCCCAUGUCUGCCCACUUUUCAUCAAAAUGAACUUAAGGAUUUCCAGGCUUCAUUGCUUCCUUGGGUCCCAGUGUCCGUGAAACAUAAAAUUUGAAUGUUGUCCCCUUGUUGCUGUCUGUUUGUUAUAGAAGCCUUAACUGCGAACUGAGCAUGGGAAAGGGAAAGUCAUGUUGCUUCCCCUAUAGUUGGCCUUCAUCGAGCAGCCAUUGGCUAGCUUACAAAGUAGGACUGGUCAGACUUCAACACUCAGAGACACACUAAAGAGUUGUCUGGCUCCAGGUAGCUUGUCACUGAAAUCAGCUGGGGAAAGGCAUGAUGGCUACAAGCAUAUGGGAAAUCAUGUGGACAACUAAGAACAGAAAGCAAUAGUAGAGUUAGCUUGGCCUAAAACUGCACUUAAAAGGCUGGAAAGGGGGUUGGGGAUUUAGCUCAGUGGUAGAGCGCUUGCCUAGGAAGCGCAAGGCCCUGGGUUCGGUCCCCAGCUCCGAAAAAAAGAACCAAAAAAAAAAAAAAAAAAAGGCUGGAAAGAUGGCUCAGUGGUUAAGAGUACUGGCUAUUCUUCCAGAGGACCGGGGUUCAGCACCUACCUGAGAACUCACAACCGUCUGUGACUCCAGUUUCAAGAGAUCCAAUACCUUCAUAUAGAUAUACAUGCAGACAAAAACACCAAUGUACAUUUUUUUUUUAAAAAGCCAGGAGUGGUGGUACACAACUUUAAUCCCUUCACUGGGGAGGCAGAGGUAGGAAGAUGUCUAUGAGUUCAAAGCCAGCUUGGUCUAUGUAGUGAGUACCAGGAUAGUCAGAUCUUUCUACAUAGUGAGACCCUGUUUCAAGAAAAAAAAUUGGACUUAAAGUUAGAAAGUUGGGAAUGUAAACCACUCUGUCUCUCAUUCAUCAACACUCCCUGUCAUGUUAGUCAACUUUCUUUGCUACUUACAUUUUUUACCAGCAUUCCUUUUUUUUUUUUUUUUUUUUCUCGGAGCUGGGGACCGAACCCAGGGCCUUGCGCUUCCUAGGCAAGCGCUCUACCACUGAGCUAAAUCCCCAACCCCGCUACUUACAUUUUUUUACCCUGUUGUAUAACCUGGGCAUGUACAAGGACUUAAGGAUUCCAGAUUCUGUAGGAGUCGCUCCGUUGGGCAAGCUAUGGUCAGCUAUGGUCAUUUAAUUAGCUACGGCAAAUGUGUGUGUAGUAAGACUCUCCCCCACUUGGGAUUUCAUUCCUCUAGUAGCCCAGACUCUUCUGUAAUCAUAUUACUUUUCUGAUAAAAUCAGCUGUAAACAGAGAAGGAUCACAUAUCAAGUGUAUGUAACAUACCUGACCUACUCGACACUACGGCUCAGAAACACGGCAUGUGGCAUAACCUCGGUUGUUUUCCCUUUGUGACUCUGUGGUUCCUAGUAACUGUGGCAAGUUUCCAGCAUCACCAGGAGAGAAGACUGCAGAGUGUCGCUAGCCUGGAAGAGAUCACACUUCAAAGUGGGUCCCACUCUCAAAUUGCAGUGUCCGCUGAUCAUGUCUCUGUACCAUCACAAAGUUGGGACUCUGAGACCACAGCAGACAGAAGACUGUGUGUGUCUACAUCCUCCUAAGUGUAUUCCUGCAACAGAGGCCAGGGAGUAGCGUGUGGGUGUAUAUGCAGGGAAAGGGCUUCCUUUUUCCAUAAACUUUUGCUCCUGUAACCCUCACUUCCUUAAUAUCAGGGGUCUCUUCCUCUCUGGACAUUGAUCUAACCUUCACUACUUGCUGUACCCAUCCCCAUCUCUUGAAGCCUUUUUUUUUUUUUGACAUAAACUACUCAUAAAGUUUUCUUGUCUAAUUCAGUAUACAUUUCCUCAGUCAAAAUGUUUCAGUGGGAAUAAUAUGGUUAGGACUGUACAUAAACCUCUUAGACCGUAAGGCCCAGUUCCCAUUGUAUUCUCUGCUAGCCUAGGAGCGAGCAGGCACAAAACAAGUAGCAAAAGGACAACUGAAGCUUGGUUCUGACACCUGCUAGAAAACAGCUCUGUGCGUCUGCUUCUCUAUCCGUGAAGCGGAAGUAGCACCUUCCACCUAUGGUCAACGUGAGGCUUAAAGGAAUGCAUACCAGGUAAGUGAAUCGACCCAGCAUCAGGACUUAAGCAAACAAGAUACAUCUGAGGUACCAAAGGCAAAACUAUUAAAUACACAAGAUACACUUGACACACCAGGCCAUCAGUAAGGCAGCAUGCAAGUGUCCAAUCUCACGUGGGAGGUAUUGUAACUCACUACCAUUUUGUUCACAGUAUGGAAUCCAAGACUGGUGUUUCUUAUGCAUUUGUUAAAUCUGAAGGAAGGUUUGACCAAGGCAGCAAUUUUGCAGUCUUUCAGCUGCUGGUUUUUCAUUUUCUCUCUUGAAUGUAAUAAUGUAGAAGCUUCUAACACACUUCGUCAAGUUUGUAAUUUUCAUUUUUGCCACAGUAUCUGUGCUCACUUACACCAUAGCCAAAACUAUUUUUAGAGGGACUCAGACUCAGUUUUUGCUACGAUUCAAAAUAACAUUUGUACCGAAUCAUUUGUUUCUCUGAAAACUCAUUGGACAUAUCGCAAUGUGGCCAUCUCAUUCCUGUCAAAAAUUAGUGAAGGCAGCUCUAUACAUACGGAUGCUGCAUAGAGGGUCCACCUAUGAAACCCCAUGAAUUUAAAUGUGCACCUUUAUGCUGUAUAUGCUUCCCAUUUAGUUUAAGUUAGGCCUAAACAUAGUGUCAUUUUAUAUGCUGAAGUUAAAUA